ensembl:lncRNA
UCUCUCCCCUGACUGGUACAGAUACCCCCACCACACUCACCCCUCUCUGUUCACCGUCUGCCCUGGCCUGUCUCCCCCUGACUGGUACAGGUACCCCCACCACACUCACCCCUCUCUGUUCACCAUCUGCCCUGGUCUGUCUCCCCCUGUCUGGUACAGGUACCUCCAUCACACUCACCCCUCUCUAUUCACCGUCUGCCCUGGCCUGUCUCCCCGUCUGGUACAGGUACCUCCACCACACUCACCCCUCUCUCCCUGGCCUGUCUCCCCCUGUCUGGUACAGGUACCCCCACCACACUCACCCCUCUCUGUUCACCGUCUGCCCUGGCCUGUCUCCCCCUGUCUGGUACAGGUACCCCCACCACACUCACCCCUCUCUGUUCACCGUCUGCCCUGGCCUGUCUCCCCUGUCUGGUACAGGUACCUCCACCACACUCACCCCUCUCUCCCUGGCCUGUCUCCCCUGUCUGGUACAGGUACCCCCACCACACUCACCCCUCUCUCCCUGGCCUGUCUCCCCCUGUCUGGUACAGGUACCCCCACCACACUCACCCCUCUCUCCCUGGUCUGUCUCCCCCUGUCUGGUACAGGUACCCCCACCACACUCACCCC